AUUAGACAAAAAGGUCUUAAUCAGAAUUAUUUACUCCACAGUAUAGAAGCUAAAACUACUGAUAUAGUAACGUACAGUGUAAUAUAGUGCACUGUAUCAAAGCAAUUAUAU